rnacentral:rRNA from 3 species
CUUUAUUGGAGAGUUUGAUCCUGGCUCAGGAUGAACGCUGGCGGCGUGCCUAAUACAUGCAAGUCGAGCGAAUGGAUUAAGAGCUUGCUCUUAUGAAGUUAGCGGCGGACGG